rnacentral:lncRNA from 1 species
UGAUAUGGAGUGUCGAGAAAGUUGUAAUUCAUUGGGAUCAGGAAAGAAUAAGUAAAUUUAUAAAUCAUGUCCAUGGCGGCAGGGCAGCGAAACGUCGCCAUGUCGGGUGGUGCAAGCGAGUCCUGCCACCACCACACUGGCACCCACCAGCUGUGGCCGUCCCACCAACACACCCACCUCCCACAACUCUCAUUUAUCGCUUUAAUCAAGACUUUUAACUCUCCUCGACUUCAAGUGCUGCAUGAGGCCGCGCGUGUGGUCACGUCGGCGCAGCGGUGGUGACUGGUCGGGGCGGCGACAUGGACUGGCGGGACGGGGGAUUGUGGGUAACUGAGCGAGCCGGGGAGUCGCCGAGCCCGCACGAGCACCGUGACGUCAUCAUCGCCUGCUGACCUGCGCCUCCCCAUUGGCUAGAAAGCCACCAGAAAGCUGUGAUGUCAUGGGGUCGUCACGGAUACAUCACUGGUAGCAGGGCGGUGUGUGAUCGGGAGGCGGGUGUCAGUGCCGGCCCGGGCCGCUCCUCUGCUGCACAGAUCCGUACACUGCCGCGCCGCUUUGCCAUAGUCACGUGCGUUGACUACGCCUUAGAAACUAGGAACAUAUAUUGCCAGGAUAUUGUAAAUAAUCUAACAUUGUUUGAACAUGGAUUAAAUUUAUGAAUACGAUUACAAGAAUUUAAGUUUUUUUCAAAAAAGCCAAAAUACAAAAUAGUGGAAAAAAUGUCACACGUGGUGAACCCAAGCUCCACGUGUCGCAAGAUUCCUUUACUCCUUUCCGCAUUAUUAUGCCUUUUGUAUAUGCUAUGAACCCUCAGUUUCUCAAAUAUAUAAUGGCUGGAGUAAUAAAGUACUUACCAUGAUUAAUUACGCUGUGAGCCACUAAUUACAUUGAGCUUAGGAAAGAAAACUAAGGUAUGUAAUGCGGUUGAACGUAACGUAUAUUUGGACAAAAGGGGUUUCGCUCAAUAACGUGGUUUUUCUUAUAACGUGGUAAUCUGCAAGGUACAGAAUUUACGUAGAAGGCGGCAGGAUACCAGACGAUUACCAAGAGUGGCAGGAACUUAUCAAUUAUGACCCAACCAAAAUCUGUUCACUUGGGUAAAUUCCCAAAGGGCAGGUCACUGAUGAUAUUGUCAUUGAAAAGAAAAUUAAAUAAAAAUCUAUGGGAGCAUUAUCUACCCCUACGACUCCGGACGCCCAUGUAGUGUGGCUUGUGAAUGUAAAAAGGAAUUGUUGAUCAAAUUCUUCGCUUAUACCUUCAUCCCUUUAUCAUUAAUUUCUCUAAUUCAUUAUUUUUUGCUAUGGUACAGUGGUAGAUCUCUUGCCUCUACACUGUAACCCGCGCUAUUCUCCCUUGGGGUCCCAGAUUUACUACGGGUACACGGAUUUCAUCCACUCCGCGCAGACUUAUCUUCCUUCAUUUUUUUAUUACUAAAGGUAUCCCACUGUAGGGCAAUAAUUUAUUUUACACACUUUUGCAGCGAAUGUGUUUUACAGAUAUUUAGAUUUUGUAACCCAAGUAAUCGUAGUUACUAUCCAGCCCAUUCAUUGUAAUUAUUUUUCUCAUUUCUUUCCCUUACACUCUUUUUCAUUACAGGAUAAGACUUAACAGGGUCAAGGUCAUUUAUUCUAUUAAUGGACUUAAUCCACACGAAAUCUACUGUACUAACACAUCUUUCGUGUGACUAUAUUUUAUGUUAACAGACAUUCGCGUUGAGUAGUUCAUUUCAUUCGCGUCAGUUUUAAAAACGUCACGUAGGUCUACUAUUUGGCGGUGACGAUAAAAAAAUAUGCAUAAUUAUGCACUACUGGUAUUAGCCCGAAAGUAAAAAUUAUUUAAUUAUUAAUUAUAAAAAAAUGAAUCCAAGGUUAAAUUUGAGGUUUGCUAAAUGUUUACGUAUUCUAAUGAGCUGCGAGUCACCGUAGAUUUUGGUUCAUAACGUAUUUCUACGUAAAAAAAUACCGAAAUUUCGUAUAUUUUUCAAUAUAUUGAAUUAGUUUGAUUGAGUAAACAGAUAAUGAUACUAGCAUAAGAUAUAUAUAUAUAUAUAUAUAUAUAUAUAUAUAUAUAUAUAUAUAUAUAUCCUAUGUGAUCAUACACAAUAACAUAAUUGCUAUAAUCUGAAGGCUUUCAGUCAUUCUUCGGAAGUUCCAGCAGUAGGCAAAUGUUUAUGUAGCGAGACAACAUAAGCCACGGUAGACUUGGACUUUAAUGACACUAAUUUUGUGUAAUUCCCAUUCAAGAUUGAUCUAAGUGUGACUCCUUUACUCUUGAAAUGACAAGAGUUUCAUGCCGACAAUAAAAUAAGCAUGAAUUUUGACGUCUGUGAUAACUUCGCCAAGUUUUGGAUGAGCUUACCGAAGAGAAAUACAAUGGUUAAGAAUCUUGUAGUACAUUAAAUCUGAAUUCCGUAAACUUAUUUCAAAUAUCAAUUGCUUGCUCUAGAGGCUCAUUAACCAGGUACAGAAAAUCAAUAAAAUAAUCGCUCAUUAAGUUUGCCCUGUCUCGGUAACUGACAAUGACAUUAAAUAUUAUUUGACUUGUUUUUACAUUUAAAUAAAUAUACAUAAAAAGUA